AGCUGGAGUCUGCUACUCAUGUCUGAAUAUGGCUAAAGGAGUGACUUGGCUUUUCUAGGGUCCAGUUCUUUAAGUACUAAAUAAGAGCAACAUAGGGGACAACUAGAUAGCCAACCACGUAACUUGGUGACUCAGAAGUUCUUGUGUCUAUGCUUCAUGGAUGGGAAUAGCCCUAAGAUGGGCACACCAGGAAGGCUUGUGGGAUGAGUGGAGUGAGCAAGCAUCAAAGCAGGGACACGGGAUCGUCAUGAAAGAGGGGAUGCCUGCACAUCAUGGAUAAGGGUCUCCGUGUUCAGAGCUAGCAUCAUGGCGGAGGAACCUCAGCUUCUUCAUGGUGCUUCCAGCAGGCGAGCCUCUGUGAACAAUUAUCUAGAUUAACUGAGUUAAUUUAAGUCAGCGUAAGAAGAAUGGCACCAUUUCCAAGGCUGCUGGAUCGCUGGACCACUGGAUCGCUGGAUCGCUGGAGUGCUGGACUGCACAAAAUGGAAGAAACCACUUCAAGAACAUCGUCAUGGAAUGUUUUCUUUAAGCUGACCAGUUUGCUGGAAUAAUCUACUUAAAGU
rnacentral:lncRNA from 1 species